CAUGAGCCACACUGGCAUACAAGCACUGGGUCUGCCUUCACAAAGGUAAUAAUGCUCAGUUGAUAUUGUCGGGUAUUAAUUUAACAACAAGGUUAUUAUUGUGGUCAUUUUGAGUGGCAUAGAAUAGUACUGCAUCACAAUAAGAGUGGUCUGAUUGUAACACAAGAGUAAAAAACAGUAUAGUUUUACACCAGUGUAACAUCAAGUAGUCGUAAUGUUGUGUCUUGUCAGUCAUACAAGUCAGCUUGACCCUCAGGUUACUCACAAAACAUAAUUAUAAA